rnacentral:misc_RNA from 1 species
GUUUGAGAGAAAUAACUAGUAGAGAGUGAGGAAAAAAUUACUUUUCUAGUAAGAUUCAGCACAACAAAUACAACUGUUGCAUCUGAUUGAAAACUGAAUGGAGCGAUGGACUUGUCAACAACAAAAUGGAAAAUGGGGAAAAAAUUUUAAUGAACAUUGAUACAUAUCAAAAUCAACCACAUGUAAGCGCAACUCUAUAUAUCUACAAACCUAUAACACUUCUACAAAAGCUAAUAUGGCAUGGAUGUGAGGUUGAGAAAUGCUCCACCUGGAGUGAGAUGAAAAGCUACUCCCAUCCAACAAGAAUGCAUGAAUUAUCAAUUGGGUAUCAAACCUUUUUAUCUAAUAUCUAUAGGACGAGCCUGAUGGUGGCGGUGCUGGUGGCAUCCGAGUGGGUGUGCGGCGGCUGCUGUUUGUGCCUGAGCUUGCAUCACCAUUUUGAGGUGGAUCACUGUUCCGUCUACUGUGAGACCUCAAUGGGUCAGCACGGCCAUUAGCUGCAGCAUCAAAUGCAGUCCUCCAGUCCUCCCCUCCUGCACGUCCGCUUGUUCUUGGACUACUUUCUGUGCAAAUUUAACAUUCCAAAAGUACAUGUAAGUAAUUGGGAAAUGACAAUCAUAGAUUUUCAAGACAGAUUUGAUUUUUGUUAGUCUAGCACAAGUGAUUUGUGGUUAGCCAUAACUGUUAUGAAAUGGAAAAUUCCAAACAACAGGAAUUACUCGUAAAUAUUUUAGGAGUUGAAGCAAUUUAUAACAAAUCCAGUUUUUGUCUUAGAAUAUCAGUCCUCAAACAAACUGUUAAAACGAUAAAAAGUCAUUGCUCUCACAUGUGCUAUGCCUCAAUAAUACAACACUAAGAACCUGCAAUUGGCAAAAAGAUUGGCAUAAUCAACCCAAAACACUAAGGUCAAAAUCCUUGAGAACUCAAAUAUCACCAAUUUUGGCAAAAGAAUUUUUAAAAAAAUAAAAAGCACCCUAAACUAAGUUCCAACUACCACUGUCAACAUGUAAAACACAUAUUUUACUUGGGCAAUAAAAAUAAAAACAUGAACUAAAGAAACUGAUCCUGAUAAUUAUUUUCCUGUGAAUUGCAUUACUGAAGACCAAAAUAAAAGCAAAUCCGCACAUGCUAGACAACUGUGUCAGUGCACGUGUCACACAACACAGCAAACAAAAAAGGUUAAUUGGAAUGCUCAUCACAACCACCAUUACCAGCACCACCAUCAUUGGACCAGCUGGAUGCAGCUGCUGCUCGAUUGUCAUGGAUGCUUAGUUGCCGUACUAGUUUUGAAAGAAGAGAAGACUGCUUCUGAUAACGCUCUCUCUUACGCUUUACAUUCUGGUCCUCCUGGAGCAGUUCUUCAAUCCUUGCACUGCUUUGUGCACUAAUGGAACUAUAAAGCUGAUUAAGCAUGUCUUCCCUAGCUUUCUCUACUUGGCAAAGAACAACUGCUUUUGGGACAUUGGCAGCAAGGCUGUUGAGAACAGCUUCAACAUAACCACGCACUUCU